rnacentral:lncRNA from 1 species
UUGUUUCUUCUGCAGAGUCCUCUUAGGCUUACGGCAGACCUUGUUGAAAAUGCCGUUAAAAAUCUUCCUUUGAAGAAGCUAGGACCUAACAAAGGAGAAUGAUAGAACAAGAGCAUUGCAGAACUUGAGAUUUUCUCAGGGUCGUAAAUGGAGUUAGAUGCAGAGCCAUGAUGCCAGAAUUGACACAUCCGAGGUAAGAGUUUUAAAAACCUUCCAUAC